rnacentral:rRNA from 1 species
AUUGAACGCUGGCGGCAUGCCUUACACAUGCAAGUCGAACGGCAGCACGGGAGCAAUCCUGGUGGCGAGUGGCGAACGGGUGAGUAAUGUAUCGGAACGUACCUUUCAGUGGGGGAUAACGUAGCGAAAGUUACGCUAAUACCGCAUAUUCUGUGAGCAGGAAAGCAGGGGAUCGCAAGACCUUGCGCUGAUUGAGCGGCCGAUAUCAGAUUAGCUAGUUGGUGAGGUAAAGGCUCACCAAGGCGACGAUCUGUAGCGGGUCUGAGAGGAUGAUCCGCCACACUGGAACUGAGACACGGUCCAGACUCCUACGGGAGGCAGCAGUGGGGAAUUUUGGACAAUGGGGGCAACCCUGAUCCAGCCAUGCCGCGUGAGUGAAGAAGGCCUUAGGGUUGUAAAGCUCUUUUGCCAGGGAAGAUGAUGACUGUACCUGGAGAAUAAGCCCCGGCUAACUUCGUGCCAGCAGCCGCGGUAAU